AAAAAAUUUGUUAAAAAAAUAACUCAAUGUUGCAAGAUUAAGUUGAGCGUCCGCAAAAUGUAACUAGACCGAUUGCAAUUUACUUUGCAGUCACGUGGUCUAGAAUCGUCUGCUGCUUAAACAGCCCUUUCGCCAUUAAAUCAUCUAUAAUUUAAUGUGUUCAAUUAUAUUCCAGGUGAUUUCUUGUGUAUGGGAUGCUGCGUCUGUACGCAUGGCAAUUGAAAAUGGAUACAAAAUGAAAGACAUGAUAUACCCAGCACGUGUUCUACAACUGAACUACAAAAUGGUAAUCGGUGGAUACCUAGAAUCUUCAAUUCAAUGAAGACCAUCUAAAUCGGUCGUCGGCAAUUCGCAUGCAGUGUAUGCAUUGUACAAACACUGUUACACACGACACGUGUGCGAGAUCGGGAAAGCAGCAGCAGCGUCAUUUCUUAUGCACAUAAGACGGCCUUGCCGAUCGCUGAUCUAAAUGGUAUUUUGGGUUUGUGACCGACGGAACACUAUGGGCCAAUUUAGGUUCAACAUGAUACACUCUGGCGUCCCCCCCACGUGUCUCUCACCCAAAGACACGAAAUUUGUGCACAUAAACCAAUAAAUUAUAAUAAAUGACUCCAUUUAAAGUAUUAAA